rnacentral:rRNA from 1 species
UACGUAGGGUGCGAGCGUUAAUCGGAAUUACUGGGCGUAAAGCGUGCGCAGGCGGUUCUCCAAGUCCGUUGUGAAAUCCCCGGGCUCAACCUGGGAACUGCAUUUGUGACUGUAGAGCUGGAGUACGGCAGAGGGGGAUGGAAUUCCGCGUGUAGCAGUGAAAUGCGUAGAUAUGCGGAGGAACACCGAUGGCGAAGGCAAUCCCCUGGGCCUGUACUGACGCUCAUGCACGAAAGCGUGGGGAGCAAACAGG